rnacentral:misc_RNA from 1 species
GUGAGUCAUCGAAUCUUUGAACGCACAUUGCGCCUCCCUUAACCGGGGGGCAUGCCUGUCUGAGCGUCAUUUAAACCUAUGGACCCGAUUGGGUUCCGUGUUGGGCCUCGCCCCUCUUUGAGAGGCGUCGCCUUAAAGGCAUCGGCUUUAUGGAGCGGACGGGAUCCUUUUGGACUGACCGUUUCAUGGCUGGAAUUUGACUCUGACUUGACCUCAGAUCAGGUAGGGACACCGCCUGAACUUAAGCAUAUCAAUAAGCGGAGGA